UACGUAGGGACCAAGCGUUGUUCGGAUUUACUGGGCGUAAAGGGCGCGUAGGCGGCCUCUGCAAGUCGACUGUGAAAUCUCCGGGCUUAACCCGGAACGGUCAGCCGAUACUGCAGGGCUAGAGUGCAGAAGGGGCAACUGGAAUUCUCGGUGUAGCGGUGAAAUGCGUAGAUAUCGAGAGGAACACCUGCGGCGAAGGCGGGUUGCUGGGCUGACACUGACGCUGAUGCGCGAAAGCUAGGGGAGCGAACGGG
rnacentral:rRNA from 1 species